GUAUAAAAGUAUUGCUCCUAUCAUACAAUGCCAUUUUUUCCACUUUUUCUGUAUUACAACAAAAUAAUCCAUCUUUGCGACACUUAAAAAAGAACAUUUUAUAUUGUGACUGUAAUGAAUGAUAACAUCAUCAAGAAAUAAGAAGUAAAAAUAACAGCGGAAUUAAGUGUCGCAAAGAUGGAUUUUGGAUCACUAGUUUGUAUGCUUCGAGUUGGUAUGAAUUGUAUUUAUCUAAUUAUAAAAUGCUGCUAACACACUCUUGUGCUGUACCCCAACACACAAAACAGAGUCAAAAGAAAAAUGUAAAAUAGGAGUGGAGCAGUGUAUUAAAACAACAAUUUAGGUGAUAUACCCUGAGACCAAUCUCGCCACUGUGCAUUGGAGGAGCCUGGUUGCCCGCCUGCUGCCUUUAGACUAUGGCCCCAUGUUGAAACGCUUGAUUUUCCCCUGCAAAGACAUGAAAGCCGGGUCAUUCGGUGCUUGGCCUGUUGAGCGGUGAUAACCCAGAUAGCUAUGCCAUGGAGCCUAUUCGUGUAAUAAAAGACUUUGGCUCCAUGCCAAUUGAACUGUAUGUGUGUGGUCUGGGAGCCAAUCAGUAAUAAUGUGCGCUCAGACCUAAGCUACAUGUCUGUAUUUUAUGUAAUAAAUGUAACCUUGUGUAUUACAGUGUAUUACUGUCUUUUUACUGCCAUGUGCUUAACGGAGUUUUGCCUCUGUCCUUGAAGAUAAUUGGAUUAAUUCCCAAUUAUCUCCAGGAUAGAAGCCUCUGUGGAAAUGUAAGUUUUAUGUGAAUGUGAUGCAUACUUUUAAAGUUAUGAAUAAUGUGGAAAAACUGUAUUUCUCUGCCGGUGAUAAUUACAUUACCCAUUGUGUAAGGUAAUUGUAUCACAGGCAGAGGGGAGGAUUUUGUGUGGGAGUGUCUGAGUGUAUUGUAUGUGUUUAUUGGUUGUUUUCCAAAACCCUGUGGGUGGUACUAAUGUGUAUAUAAGAACAAUAAACCCACAGCUCUGUUUGUUACUGCUUGACCCUCACAACAGAGCCUUGUCUCGUUCUUGGGGGGGAUUUAUUGUAUGCUGUUCUAAUUCGACUGCUAGGAGUGUAAACCUAUUCAUAUGGUUUUUCCUAUUCGGCUGUUUACGGCAUUCAUAUGGUUUCCUGUUCGGCAGAUUGGUGUUCUGCAGUAGCUGUGCCUGUGUCUCUGGAAGGGAAGAUCUACUAAAUGGCAGUUUAACCCCUUUUAUGUCUGGGGGUGCUGUUACAUACCCAAAGCAAAGUGGUUAGACUAUGAAAAAUAGAAAUGCUUGUGAUUUUACUUAAUGGGCAGCAGAUGGCCCCAGAUCAACACAUCUUACAGCAUAUAUGUAAAAAAAAAAAAAAAAAAAGUUAUAAACACAGAUAAUAGUGCAGACGAGAGGGAGAGGGAGAGAGAUUUUCCCAUAAAAAAAGUACCCAUACACUUGGGCUAAGGAAAUCGAAGUUAUAAUUAUCAUUUAAAUACUAUAGAAUUACAACCCAAAUGUUAUGUCCAGUAAAGUGCAGAUAAGUUUAUUCCAUUUGAAUCAGUAAUAUAAAAAAAAAAAAAAAGCAAACACACUGUCUCUUACAAAAGAGCAUGGUGAGUGCGCUUGGCAUAAGCCGUUACUCACUGCCAGGCUUAUUCAAAGUUCAUCUGGUGGUGGUGCUGGAGUGGCUGGCUCAAGGUAGCUUGUGUGCUCGGGACACAGUGAUCCGGUUUCACUGUAACACGAGCGGCGUUUGUGUAAUUCUUCCUGAGCUCUCUGCAGACUCCGCCCCCACGUAUGAUGUCAACGCGUUUCGCCGGUCAUGUCCUGAGUAAGCCAGGCAAGAUUCAUUCAGAAUUUGAAGGAUUUUUGUGUUUAUUCCUUAAAAGAAAGGCAGUAAAAGCAGCUUACUUGUUUCACAAAAUCUUCCACUGAAAAAAAAUUGUUGGAAACAAGGCACACUCAUGCAUCUCUUUUUUUUUUAUAAAUCAUCACUGCCACCAUUAAAGGAACAUUAUAGUGUUAGGGAUACAAAACUGCAUUUCUAACACUAUAGUAUCCCUCUCUAUAGAAGUCCUUUGGCGCUGACGCUGUCUCCACUUCCUUCUCUUCCAAUGUCAACAUCAAGGGGUACCUCAUGCGCAUGUGCAAUGAAUUUCAGGCACAUUAGGCCUUCCCCAUAGAAAUACACUAAACAAUGCUUUUCUAUGGGGGAUUUGAACAAUUCAUUGAUAAAUUUGUUUUUUGAAAAUCAGUGCUUGUGCUGCCUAAUUAUCACUAUUCCCAGAAACUUAUGUUCAGGUGAUUACAUAAGAUAUUUUAUUGACUCACAGCAAUGUGGCUCAAUCCAGGCAACAUUUCAGUUAUUACAUUAACUGCUUAGUCAUGCUCCUACAUUAUACUCACACAUGCCAGAAUGAACAAUAAACAAACCUAUGUCAAAAAAAUUAGGCUUGAGGCACUGUAACAAUGUUGCUUGUAAAAAGAAUUACAAGGAAGUCAACCUAAUUUGAAGCGGCUCUGCCGCUCCCCGCAUUAACGGAGUAUUUCAUAAAGAUAAAAUCCUGCAGCUAUAAGAAGUCCGUUCCAUAACCAGGAAGAAUCCUGCAAUUGGAAACACCUCAUUCUGGUCUUUGGGCAGUAUAUUCUUAUUCUAUAAACUCCUGUCCAGCAGUAGAUUACAGGAUAGGUCUAUGAGCACCAAACGACAAAGUCACAGUCAACACUUGGCUCUCUCUGGGCAUUUUAUAAAUGUUAGCAGUUCUCUUUGCCACCGUACGCUCUGUGCUAUCAACUUUGAAAUUAUGGGUCGAACGAUGAUUUUUUGUAAGCACAGUUAAAUUUGUGAUGACCGAAUAAAAAACCAUUUGCACGACUAUUUUGAUAAUUGUGAGUGCCCCCUAUAGUUCACUUUUUUUAUAUAUAUUCAAUGCAGGAUUGCACCCAGGCUAUAUACACAAAUGUUUUGCAUCUCUUCCUGAGUUGUGUUUCAAAGCUGUUGUACAGCAAACACAAACACCAAGGAAUCCAUGUUUAAAAUGGAAUAAUAAGGUGAAAAGUGAUUCUUUGUUGAACAAAUUUGCAUAUGACCAUCCAGAAUCCCUUGCAGUAGUAACAUCACGUGUGUGAGAGGGCAGUCUGUGUGUGUGUGUGUGUGUGUGUGUGUGUGUGUAUGAGGGGGCAGUGUGUAUGUGUGUGUGUGUGUGGUGUAGUGUGUUUUUGUGUGUGAAGGGUGCUUGUGUUUGUUUGUGAAGGUCUAUGCUGCGUGUAGGUGGGUGAGAUGUCUGCAGGCGGACUUUCUGGUCCUCCUGCGAGCACAGCACUGUAUCGGAGCAUUGCCAUGGCAACGCUCUGACCAGCCUGCUCGUUGGCGGAACACAGAGCCUCCCAGGUCCUUCCCUCCCUCUCAGGGCUGCCAUCAGAAAUUUUGGGGCCCCUGACACAGCCCCAGUCAGCCACAGGGAUGCAGUGUCUGCAGGGCCGGUGCAAGGAUUUUUGCCGCCCUAGGCAAAAGUAAAGUUUGCCGCCCCCCAUGUG
rnacentral:lncRNA from 1 species